rnacentral:rRNA from 1 species
CGGUGGUCCCACCUGACCCCAUGCCGAACUCAGAAGUGAAACGCCGUAGCGCCGAUGGUAGUGUGGGGUCUCCCCAUGCGAGAGUAGGACACUGCCAAGC